GAUCCUGCAGAUGAGAAGAUGACAGCUCUUAAUGUCACUUUAACAGCACAUAUUACAGCUCAACCGCAAAUAAAACCGACGCAAUCAAACGACACAUAAAUGAGGAACCGAGUACGGCACAAGACUCACCUGACACGGGAUGUGUUUGGAGCGUCCAGUCAUCAGAAGCAGAGCUGUGGGACGUGUGGGCAGACAUUGACUGUAAUGAUGGACUUCUGCUGAUGGACAGAAAGUCCAUCACACCUGCCUGGAAGUUUCAAGUAACCCUGAAGACCUUGAUGAUCUGCUUCAGGUGUUUUUCAUCAGGUUGGAGCUAAACUCAGGAAAGUGUCUCACCAGGAGCAGGAUCGGACACAAUUUUACUCUCUUUGCAUCUACUGCUGUUUUUAAAUGGAAAUGCAGAAACACUUAUUAUUGUCCACAAGGGGGAGCAGCUGACACACAAAUCCAUCUCACUCCCGUGUCUGUUAUAUUCAUCAGGAAAUUAAAAACACAAGUCUUAGUUGUUAUAGCAGCAGUGAUUAGUUUGUAGAUUACAUAAAAUACUUGUCAAAUGUAAUGUUGAUACAGGCUUUAAUGAAGGAUAUUUAUUUAAUCAAAUAACCAAUAAAUGUAUGAAGAGUGAUUAAUCCCUCCAUCCAGUCAUGGCCAGCCACGGUUAAAC